UUUUUUUUCCCUAUCGGCUGAUCCGGUCAGCUUCGGUAGAAACGUACUGAAAUACUUCAGAGUGAACUUAUCCCCGAAGGACUACCACAUUGUCUGUCCCGAGUUUAGAAUGCUUUCCGACUAAUGCCAGGGGUAGUCAGGUCGCCUUCCUUUCUGAUUACCAGGUAAACCAAUUGGGCAAAAACCCAACUGACAGACUUCCCAAACAAAUGUGAUUUUUGUUUUCAGGGAAGAUCAAACUCAGGUCUGGAAGUUUCACCCUUCCCGAAAUCUUCUCGUACGACUGGACCACAAAUGCUUGGGAUUUUU
rnacentral:sRNA from 1 species